rnacentral:rRNA from 1 species
UGGGGAAUCUUGGACAAUGGGCGCAAGCCUGAUCCAGCAAUGCCGCGUGAGUGAUGAAGGCCUUAGGGUCGUAAAGCUCUUUUACCCGGGAUGAUAAUGACAGUACCGGGAGAAUAAGCUCCGGCUAACUCCGUGCCAGCAGCCGCGGUAAUACGGAGGGAGCUAGCGUUGUUCGGAAUUACUGGGCGUAAAGCGUACGUAGGCGGUUAUUCAAGUCAGAGGUGAAAGCCCGGGGCUCAACCCCGGAACUGCCUUUGAAACUAGAUAGCUAGAAUCUUGGAGAGGUCAGUGGAAUUCCGAGUGUAGAGGUGAAAUUCGUAGAUAUUCGGAAGAACACCAGUGGCGAAGGCGACUGACUGGACAAGUAUUGACGCUGAGGUACGAAAGCGUGGGGAGCAAACAGGAUUAGAUACCCCCGUAGUCCCUGAGCGGGCUGGCAAGGCGCAU